GGUUCGGAGGAGACGUGGCGCUGGGGUGAGACGUGAUGCCCAGAAGCGAUCUCAAGUAAGAAAACACACCCAAGUCGCAGUCAGGUUUGAACAGUGAACACUGAAGAACUCGUGACUUCGCAGUAAUGUAAACUGCCCGACAUCUUUUAGGUGCAUAUUCAGUCCCUCUCAGCUGCCCCUGUAGGUGCUGACAAGUACUGGAGUCUCUUACAAACGCUGGGACUGGGGAAAGCAGAUUCCCAAAGAGCAAGCGUGCAAACACCAGAGCCCAGGGUUCUGAUGGACGGUGCUAACGGCGAUAGGAUGCUGCAUCUCACGAAGAUGAAGGAACAUGUCUACUUUUUCAGAUCUACAGUUUCUCCGGCACUUGCUUUGGACGGUGAUGGGGCACAUGCAUAAUUAAAAGAUAAAAACAGGUUCCCCGGAAGCUAUGAAGAUGGUCAAUUCCUGUCCUCAACAAGUUUAUGAUGAAGGGUAGGAAACAGAUUGGCAUGACUGCCUACCAAUAGUGCCUUCAGCUUCCAUCUGGGAGAAAGCAAGGACCCGGUCUUUCAAAACAGCAAGGAGCGGGAGGUGGAGAAGCCCCUGGCACAACUCUGACCCGGAUACAGCCCUGAUCCGAAUUGUGGCAAGUGAGGCUGAACUCAUUCCUUCCUGUUCCCCUAGUGUGACACGGGGGUCACCCAGCUAGCAAUGGAAGUGACUCAGAAGCCUCCCAGUUCACAAUGAUGCUUAAGUGGAGAGAAAAUUCAUUGAACUGGAAGAGAGAUUUUUGUCAGAAGGCAAACUACCCGCAUAUGGCUCUCUACAAUCAUAUAGAUGGUUUUGCUGGUUUGGGCUGAGGCUUUUACUGAAUUGUGAAUAAAUGAUCCUGUUGGCACAGGGGAGGCGUAUUCUACGUGACGUGGUCUUUCAAUUACGUGGCGUGAUGGCAGACUAGCAAGAUGCUGUGCAUUAUCUCCAGAAUUCUGGGGGUAAGAAGGUCAACAACUGUCUCCGAGCUGACUCGGGGCAGAUCCACGUUAAUUACUGUGUUUCUGGGGGAGCUGGGGGAGACAAAGCAGAGAGCGCCAAGAACACCCAUGGGUUACAGUUAAAAAAUCAAACCAAACCAAUGAAGCCUGACUUUGGAAACAGUUCCUUAUAUAUCGUAAAAACUAUUUAUAAAACAAAACAUGACUCCAUAGAUACAACAACAACGCUUGACUUUGGAAACAGUUCCAUCCUUAUAUAUUAUAAAAACUAUUUGUAAAACAAAACAUGACUCCAUAGAUACAACUUUCCUUCUGGCUUAAUCAUUUCCCCACCCAGCUUCCACUCCCAGUGCGGUUGGCAGUGAGGUUAGAGACAGAAGGGGAUAAAAAGCCACAGAAAAGAGACUGAAGAAGUUGGAAUUCAAAACGUAAGUUGUCACCUUGCCAGAAACGGACGAGAAUCUGGAGGCCCUGAUUUGCCUGGGGAUGCUGGUGGAGACACCACACCACGUGGGAACAGGAGGUGGCUCCAGCUCAGCUGAGUCGACCGGCUGCAUGGACUUCAUUUCUGUCCUCCCAUCUCUGGGAACCAGCCUCCCAGAUAACAGCAACCUGCACAAAGCUCGUGCUUGCCACCCUCCUGUUAACCCACCAGGGUCUCCAUUCUCCCUCCAGACAUUUUCUUUUCCCUUCAGCUGGCUUUCAACUCGAUUCCUCAUAAAACGUUAAUCGCGAGGUAAGUUUUAUUUGACGGUAUCUUAGGAUGUGCCAUUUCCCAAGGAAGCCAUGUUUUCUUUAACACAGUAUAGCAGGCACAGGGGAUUACAUUAUUGAGCUAUAAUAGCCAUAUGUGCAUUCCUGGCUCUUUGUCAGAGUCCUAAAUUAAUCGGAUUCUCUCCUGCUCCCAUCUAAAGCUCAGAGCAGAUACUCCUGUGUUGCAGAUGGGUCUUUGCCACUCACAGUGUGGUUCACGGAGCUGCAGGGGUGACAUCACCUGGGAGCUUGUUAGAAUGCAAAUCUCAGACCCCACCCUUGCCAUACCCACUGGAUCAGAAUCUUCACUUUUGUAAAGUCCCCCCGCUGAUCCAUAUGCACGAUAAAGUUUGAGAAGCAAGUGGUCUAAGCAAGUGGUUUUCAAACUGUGGGCUGCCACUCGUUAGUAAGUCAUGAAAUCAAUUCAGUGCUUGCGACCAGGAUUUUUAAAAAAAUGCAAUCAUAUAGAGAACAUAUGAGUGCAUCAUAUGUAGUAGGGGUAAAUCUUGUGAAAUUUGUUUCAAUUAUUGUUAA